rnacentral:lncRNA from 1 species
GAGUAGGAUUGGAUGGUGAUGGGCAAAAGUCAACUAGCAAGCAAAACAAAGCAAAAGUAAAACCUGAGAAGUGAUUUUCAUGAUUCUGGAGUCAAGAGGACAAUGGUCCAAAGCAGUGGUCAGCGGGUCUCCUUGGCAGCCCCUACUCCACUCAGCCCCUGCUGAGCCUCAUUUGUCCUACUUGAGUUGCUCACCCAAGUCAGACCAGCCCAGCCCCAGAGAAUGGUUAAAGACAAAAGUACCCUGAACUACUGUGGUUUGACACACAGAGCCAAGUGGCUGUGGACCGGAACCUCUGGCACCCUUUGAAGCUCAGCAGAAAAAAUUUCACUCAGAAUGGUGUCAGAAAGAUGGCGGUGUAUCAACUAGGGAUGCCUCUACGUCCUUCAGUCCUUUACUGGACACCUAACUUGACAGCAGCAACAAUGGGCUCAGCACCAACAGCUGCUGUUUCAUCCAGAAACCAGCUGCCAGGUCCCCACAACUCACUCGGUUUUUCCACAAAAGAAGUGUGCAGGCCGAGCUGGAGAGAUGGCUCAGAGGUUAAGAGCACCAACUGCCCUUCCAGAGGUCCUGAGUUCAAUUCCCAGCAACCACAUGGUGGCUCACAACCAUCCGUUAUGAGAUCUGGUGCCCUCUUCUGGUGUGCAGAUAUACAUGGAAGAAGAAUGUUGUAUACAUAAUAAAUAAAUAAAUCUUAAAAAAAAAGUGUGCAUGCUUGGUGUACUGGCUGAUUCCUUCGUACAGUCAAUGGAAUCAUACAAAGGAAAAAACAUGUUUAAGGAGUUCUUGUCCUCACCUUGCACUCUCACUUUUCUGCAAUUCUCUCAGCCUCCCACUGUUUUCUCCUCUUUCCAGAACAUUCCUUUCUUCCUCUGCGAGUUUCUUCAAAAACUCAAAACAACAACAACAACAAAAAGG